CUCCGAGAUAGUACUAGGUCACAAUGUCUUCUAAUACACCGCAAUAGGUGGCUGCCCAUGCAAACAAUUUGACAGCAAGUAAAAAUCGGUGUAACAAACUAAUUAUUAUGCUUCAGCCGGCUCCACCCCACCAAAUCUCGCCGAUGGGAACCUUAACCUUGCCACCCAUGAAUCCAUGGAGGCCCAACUGCCCAAGGGGAUCGAAACAAGCUACAACAAUUCGGCAUCUGAGAGGGAAACAAAAAGUUACUGCUGCUCGAUUUGGAUGGAGAGAGACCACCUAUUGCCCUUGUGCUCUGUGGACAGGGGAAGGGAGAUGGUGUAGGCAACGGCAAGGUUACCUACUGAUGUUAGCCUGCAAGUGGGAGAUCUACAUAAGCUUCCUGUUGCUGCAUUUGCUUACUGCUCUUUAUGCUGGAUGUAAUACUGCUCACAAAGUGACUAUUGUGAUUCCAUAAUACUAUAUAAUAUUUUACACAGUCAA